rnacentral:rRNA from 1 species
CCUACGGGAGGCAGCAGUGAGGAAUAUUGGUCAAUGGACGAGAGUCUGAACCAGCCAAGUAGCGUGAAGGAUGACUGCCCUAUGGGUUGUAAACUUCUUUUAUAUGGGAAUAAAAUGUUCCACGUGUGGGAUUUUGUAUGUACCAUAUGAAUAAGGAUCGGCUAACUCCGUGCCAGCAGCCGCGGUAAUACGGAGGAUCCGAGCGUUAUCCGGAUUUAUUGGGUUUAAAGGGAGCGUAGGUGGAUUGUUAAGUCAGUUGUGAAAGUUUGCGGCUCAAGCGUAAAAUUGGAGUGGAAACUGGCAGUGGUGAGUACAGUAGAGGUGGGCGGAAUUCGGGGUGUAGCGGUGAAAUGCUUAGAUAUCACGAAGAACUCCGAUUGCGAAGGCAGCUCACUGGACUGCAACUGACACUGAGGCUCGAAAGUGUGGGUAUCAAACAGGAUUAGAUACCCCAGUAGUC